AUUUACAAGCACCGAACCUACCUUGAUAGUUUCCCAAAUGGAGGCGAAUCGUCGGUGUUGGUUCUCGUUCUCCACUUAAAUAUUAAUCUUCCAACCCUUCAAUUCCUAGAUUCUUUGUUUACUUAAAAUUCCCUUGAUCGAUUAGGUUUUCUAUUUUUUUAUAUUUUCGCAAAAAUAGGUGUAUAUGUAUGAGGUUAUCUUCAUUCUGGAUAACUAUUGAAAUAUGUUUUUGAUGUCACAUAAGAAUUAUUAUAUAUUUUGUUAGUCGCGUGGUUUUAUCGGGCUAUUUUUUCUGACAGGCGAGUCAGUUCCUAUUUACAAAUUAAAGUGAGUUAGUAUAAUUGAACGCACCUAUAAAACCUAUUAUCUAUAUAGCGGAAUUAUAAAAAGAUGUUUUAUCUAUGGGUCUUUCGACGGUCUCAUCUGUCAUCUUGUCUUCUGUUUCAGUUUGAAGGAGGUGACGAGCCGCAGUUUUUGUUGACCAUGAACGGAGGCGAUGACCGAAGGUUUGUUGUGAGAUAACAUCCUUGGAUUAGAUGGGCAAACUACUUACAGAUGCAAUGUUUGUGGUAGUCAUACUUUUUUUUAUUUCCAAAAAUGCUUCUAAUGAGCUGGCCGAAAACUUCAUAGGGUGUUAACAAUGGUUUGCAUUGAAACAUAAGUGAACGUGAAAAGGGAAAAUUAAAAAGAGCCGAAACGUGGAGAAGAAGAGACUCACUCACGUUUCUUUCUCUUGGACUUGGAAGGGAUUAUCAUUUAAACACAUUAAAUGAACAAGGAGACAAAAAAUAAGAAAGAUUCGAAACAUGGAGAGGUAGAAACCCGUUAAUGCUCCUUCCCCUUGGACUUCAAAAGUUGCAGUUUUUAGAAAAUACAUGCAUUCUAAUUGACGCUAAUGUAUUUGAGGUUACACAUGUGAUGUUGUCUUCUACCAUGACAUUUCAUCGUCAUCAAUGGUAUUUGCCCUCUAUGAUCGUCCAAACGUGAGAGAGAGAGAGAAUUACAAGUUCAGGUUGAUCAUAGUGAAACAACCAAUGUCUACAAUGGUAUCGUCUUUCCCGAGUUAUAUCCUUGAUUUGCUGUUUUCGUCUUCAACUUGCAACAUUAUGUAGUUAAUUUUCAGCAGCUGAGUGAGAGCAAGAGGACAUUAUUUGAAUUCCACUGAAACAACAAAUUUACUGCUGAUAUUCCUCCUGGAUUCGGUGUGCUUUUUACAUCUGCAAACUUUGGAACAUUACAGUCUACAGUUAAUUAAG